AUUUCCAUUAUGAUAGGCUCAAAAGUUUGCAACAAAACACAUUUAUCAUGUAUGCAGUUGCAAGCGACCUACUGGCGAUCAGAUAGCCUUCUGAAGAAUGCUUGAAAUGGCAUAUAUUGAAUUGAACUUUACCUUAUGCUAUUUAAAGAUAUAAUGGUGAUUUAGAAUUAUUGAGUCGAGGCCUCCAGAUGUGAAAACAAAGCAUGGAGGCCAAUUAGGGAGAAGUUGAAGCAGUCAGGGAAGAAGGUAAGCAAGAAGGACAAACAAGAAGUGGUGUCAGAAUUCCUGACAAAAAAUGUGUGUAUCACUAACACAAUAGCGUAGCAUCAAUGAGUUGUAGCUGAUUCACAGCAGAUUGUAUUUUGUAUGUCCAGGUAAUACCAGCCUCGAACAUGUAGUGACUUGCAGCUAAUAAAAUUCCUAUUGUUUUUGUAAUGGAUAACCGAUUUUUUGGG